rnacentral:tRNA from 1 species
AGAAGAAUAUGCUAUGUUAAGCAGUUAGAUUCAUACUCUAAUAAAGGUUUUAAUCCUUCUUCUA